UACGUAGGGGGCAAGCGUUGUCCGGAAUCAUUGGGCGUAAAGAGUGCGUAGGUGGUGCCCUAAGUCUGUUGUGAAAUCUCCCGGCUUAACUGGGAGGGUGCGGUGGAAACUGGGGUGCUUGAGUGUGGGAGAGGUAAGCGGAAUUCCUGGUGUAGCGGUGAAAUGCGUAGAUAUCAGGAGGAACACCGGUGGUGUAGACGGCUUACUGGACCACGACUGACACUGAGGCACGAAAGCGUGGGUAGCAAACAGG
rnacentral:rRNA from 1 species